rnacentral:rRNA from 1 species
CCACGGCGUAAGGCUAAAUACACUAUGACGACCGACAGUGAACUAGUACCGCGAGGGAAAGGUGAAAAGCACCCCUGUUAGGGGAGUGAAAUAGUAACUGAAAUCAAUGGCUAACAAAUCAGUAGGAGCUACUAUAUGUAGUGACUGCCUGCCUUUUGUAUAAUGAGUCUGCGAGUUAUUGUCCGUAGCAAGCUUAAGCCGCUAAGCGGCGGAAGCGUAGCGAAAGCGAGUCCAAAUAGGGCGCUAAGUUGCUGGCAAUAGACCCGAAGGGGAGGUGAUCUAACCAUGAUCAGGAUGAAACCUCGGUAAAACGAGUUGGAGGUCCGAACCGGUCAACCUUGAGAAGUUGUCGGAUGAAUUGUGGUUAGGAGCGAAAGACUAAUCAAACCCCCUGAUAGCUGGUUCUUUCCGAAAUAUAUUUGGGUAUAGCGUCGGACGCUGACCUAUGGAGGUAGAGCACUAAAUAAGCUAGGGCUUCUAACGAGGUACUGAACUUAAUUAAACUCCGAAUACCAUAGGGUG